AUUGAACGCUGGCGGCAUGCCUUACACAUGCAAGUCGAACGGUAACAGGUCUUCGGAUGCUGACGAGUGGCGAACGGGUGAGUAAUACAUCGGAACGUGCCCGAUCGUGGGGGAUAACGAGGCGAAAGCUUUGCUAAUACCGCAUACGAUCUACGGAUGAAAGCGGGGGAUCUUCGGACCUCGCGCGGACGGAGCGGCCGAUGGCAGAUUAGGUAGUUGGUGGGAUAAAAGCUUACCAAGCCGACGAUCUGUAGCUGGUCUGAGAGGAUGAUCAGCCACACUGGGACUGAGACACGGCCCAGACUCCUACGGGAGGCAGCAGUGGGGAAUUUUGGACAAUGGGCGAAAGCCUGAUCCAGCCAUGCCGCGUGCAGGAUGAAGGCCUUCGGGUUGUAAACUGCUUUUGUACGGAACGAAAAGCCUCUUUCUAAUAAAGAGGGGUCAUGACGGUACCGUAAGAAUAAGCACCGGCUAACUACGUGCCAGCAGCCGCGGUAACAC
rnacentral:rRNA from 1 species